rnacentral:rRNA from 1 species
AAUGAACGUUGGCGGCGUGGAUUAGGCAUGCAAGUCGCGCGAGAAGUUUCCUUCGGGAGACGGACAGCGGCGGAAGGGAGAGGAAUAAGUAGAAAUCUGCCCUCGGGACGGGGAUAGCGGCGGGAAACUGCCGGUAAUACCCGAUAACAUCUUUGGAUCAAAUGGUGUGAUUCCGCCUGAGGAUGAGUCUACUUCCUAUUAGCUAGUUGGUGUGGUAAUGGCUCACCAAGGCAACGAUGGGUAGCGGGUGUGAGAGCACGAUCCGCCUCACUGGGACUGAGACACUGCCCAGACACCUACGGGUGGCUGCAGUCGAGAAUCUUCGGCAAUGGGGGAAACCCCGUGACCGAGCGACGCCGCGUGUGUGAAGAAAGGCCUUAGGGUUGUAAAGCACUUUC